CACCGUGUUCGAGCAAUGGAGCAGGUUUCCCUCUAAUGAGCCAUGAGUCUAACCUCCCACCAAGAAGCUUCUCUGCGCUGCAGUCACAGCCACCAGCCAAACCAAGCAGCCCACCGAGCUAGCCACCUGAUGACUGCAAGAAGGCCAAGAACAGCCAACAUCGUUAUGAACAAAAGGAAUCCUGCUAAAGAAAUCACAACACCAGAUCUCAAGUUACAGUCAGUACAGAUUCACAGCAAUAAACCAGGAUGGUACUAGCACUUAGCAAAUUUAUAAGCUAAUACAUAGAAUAAAGGAUCCAUGUACAAGUCUAUGCAA